GAUGAACGCUGGCGGCGUGCUUAACACAUGCAAGUCGAACGAAGAAGAGUUGAGUGAGAGCUUCGGCAGGAUUUCUUCUCAUCUUAGUGGCGGACGGGUGAGUAACGUGUGGGCAACCUGCCCUGUACUGUGGAAUAAUCACUGGAAACGGUGACUAAUACCGCAUGUCAUCUUCGGAAGGCAUCUUCUGAAGAAAAAAGGAGCAAUUCGGUACAGGAUGGGCCCGCAUCUGAUUAGCUAGUUGGUGAGAUAACAGCCCACCAAGGCGACGAUCAGUAGCCGACCUGAGAGGGUGAUCGGCCACAUUGGGACUGAGACACGGCCCAAACUCCUACGGGAGGCAGCAGUGGGGAAUAUUGCACAAUGGGGGAAACCCUGAUGCAGCAACGCCGCGUGAAGGAUGAAGGUUUUCGGAUCGUAAACUUCUAUCAACAGGGAAGAAACAAAUGACGGUACCUGAAUAAGAAGCCCCGGCUAACUACGUGCCAGCCGCCGCCGUAACAC
rnacentral:rRNA from 1 species